AGUGAACGCUGGCGGUAGGCCUAACACAUGCAAGUCGAACGGCAGCACAGAGGAGCUUGCUCCUUGGGUGGCGAGUGGCGGACGGGUGAGGAAUACAUCGGAAUCUACUCUGUCGUGGGGGAUAACGUAGGGAAACUUACGCUAAUACCGCAUACGACCGACGGGUGAAAGCAGGGGAUCUUCGGACCUUGCGCGAUUGAAUGAGCCGGUUUCGGAUUAGCUAGUUGGCGGGGUAAAGGCCCACCAAGGCGACGAUCCGUAGCUGGUCUGAGAGGAAGACCAGCCACACUGGAACUGAGACACGGUCCAGACUCCUAAGGGAGGCAGCAGUGGGGAAUAUUGGACAAUGGGCGCAAGCCUGAUCCAGCCAUACCGCGUGGGUGAAGAAGGCCUACGGGUUGUAAAGCCCUUUUGUUGGGAAAGAAAUCCAUCUGGUUAAUACCCGGGUGGGAUGACGGUACCCAAAGAAUAAGCACCGGCUAACUUCGUGCCAGCCGCCGCCGUAA
rnacentral:rRNA from 1 species